AUGUUCCAUUUGAGUGCCAAGAUGGUGAAGCCCAAUGGUGAGAAGCCGGACAAGUUCAAGUCUGGCAUUUUCCAGGGUCUUCUGAAGCUGGAGAUGAACUCGGACCUCAAGGCUUAGCUCGGUUGCAUUUAUAAUGCAGUCCUUGAGGAUUCGGUCUUCUCACGUGAAACUGGAUGGCAGCCAGCUCAUACAGGUUAAUUUGGACAAAGCACAGCAGAACAAUAUGGAACACAAGGUCAAAACUUUUUCUGAUGUCUAUAAGGAGCUCAUGGGCAAAGACGUUGAUUUUGACUUUCCAGAAUUUCAAUUG
rnacentral:lncRNA from 1 species